CGGAAAGGCCUUUCAGGCAUCCUCUCCCAAACUUUUCAGGGCCGCGCCGACAACGGUGCGGCCCAUUUUUUGUCUUUG
rnacentral:sRNA from 1 species